UGAGGAAUAUUGGUCAAUGGGCGGGAGCCUGAACCAGCCAAGCCGCGUGAGGGAAGAAGGUACAGCGUAUCGUAAACCUCUUUUGUCAGGGAACAAAGGCGGGGACUAGUCCCCGGAUGAGGGUACCUGAAGAAAAGGCAUCGGCUAACUCCGUGCC
rnacentral:rRNA from 1 species